rnacentral:rRNA from 1 species
UGGGGAAUCUUGCACAAUGGGGGAAACCCUGAUGCAGCGACGCCGCGUGAACGAUGAAGCCCUUCGGGGUGUAAAGUUCUUUCGACAGGAACGAUAAUGACGGUACCUGGAGAAGAUGCUGCGGCUAACUACGUGCCAGCAGCCGCGGUAAUACGUAGGCAGCGAGCGUUGUUCGGAGUUACUGGGCGUAAAGAGUGCGUAGGCGGCGAGCCAAGUUUGGUGUGAAAUCUCCCGGCUUAACCGGGAGGGUGCGCCGAAAACUGGUUGGCUGGAGUAUGGGAGAGGAAAGCGGAAUUCCUGGUGUAGCGGUGAAAUGCGUAGAUAUCAGGAGGAACACCUGCGGUGUAGACAGCUUUCUGGACCAAAACUGACGCUGAGGCACGAAAGCGUGGGUAGCAAACA